CCUACGGGAGGCAGCAGUAGGGAAUCUUCCGCAAUGGACGAAAGUCUGACGGAGCAACGCCGCGUGAACGAUGAAGGCCUUCGGGUCGUAAAGUUCUGUUGUCAGGGAAGAACAAGUACCGGAGUAACUGCCGGUACCUUGACGGUACCUGACCAGAAAGCCACGGCUAACUACGUGCCAGCAGCCGCGGUAAUACGUAGGUGGCAAGCGUUGUCCGGAAUUAUUGGGCGUAAAGCGCGCGCAGGCGGUUCCUUAAGUCUGAUGUGAAAGCCCCCGGCUCAACCGGGGAGGGUCAUUGGAAACUGGGGAACUUGAGUGCAGAAGAGGAGAGCGGAAUUCCACGUGUAGCGGUGAAAUGCGUAGAGAUGUGGAGGAACACCAGUGGCGAAGGCGGCUCUCUGGUCUGUAACUGACGCUGAGGCGCGAAAGCGUGGGGAGCGAACAGGAUUAGAUACCCUGGUAGUCCACGCCGUAAACGAUGAGUGCUAAGUGUUAGAGGGUUUCCGCCCUUUAGUGCUGCAGCAAACGCAUUAAGCACUCCGCCUGGGGAGUACGGCCGCAAGGCUGAAACUCAAAGGAAUUGACGG
rnacentral:rRNA from 1 species